rnacentral:lncRNA from 1 species
CGACCUGUGACGAUGCGCGACUUUCCUCGCUACAAGCUGAAGAGUCUAGACGGCUGAUGAUCUACACAAUGGGAAACCAGAAGGAGAAUCGUGCGACGACGUGCAUCCAAAGAAUAAGGAGAUCUGUUGCAGUUGAUCGCAUGAUUCUGCCUAUCCUGGCUUCUUCCUGUGCGAUUUUAUCAUAUACGCGCUGGAUCUGAGUGCGCAAAGCAUUUCAUGGUGAAUUCCAGUUGAUUCGCAGUAGUUUGCAGCUAUGUGUGCUGGCUGAGCGGUGGUCCGACGGCGGUGUCCUGACAAUAGCGCUCCGACAGCGACACGUAGCAAAUCAAGGACACGCAUAUGGUGGUGUGUGGCAAUUCCGGUGACCGAUAUCGCGUUACGGUAAAACUUAAUCUUUUUUAUAUUUUUUAAUUAUUUUUACAAGUAUCUGUCAUUAACCCACAUAUUUUUUAUUUAUACACGAGAGAAUUAUCUAAACAAUACCGAAUUUAGAUGAGAGCAUAGACCUGAGCCAAUAAGGAUUCUGACACUUUUCGAUUUGACUAUAGGUAAGGAAUUGGGUUAGUUUCAUUUAGAAGCUCUCAUGUUUCUAUGAAACUUUAUUUUCUGUUAAAAUGAAUUGUUAUAAACUUUAUAAACUGUUUAAGUUUUCUACCACGAGUUCUGUAAACUCAUCAUAUGUGCAUGUCUACAAUUGCAUAUGAUUGGAGACUUACAUGAUGUUGUGUAUGAUGUAUAUUUAUGUAUUCAUAUUGUUACAUGUAUGUAUAUAUAGAUUUUAUGCAUGCUAGUUAUCAAGUUAUACGUGUGUGUGACGUAUAUAUAUAUAUAUAUUAUAUAAUUGUAGGUUGUGUAACAUGUAUAUAUAUGAACGAACAACUUGUAUGCGUCUGCUUAUAAAAUACAUAUAUGCCUUCUGUAAAUAUAUAAGUAUAUUCAUGUUGUAUGUGCUGCAUGUUUAUAUAUACUUAUUUGAGUCGAUAAUUGUACGUAUAAAAUGUAUAUAUUGUGCUUAUUGUGUACGCAUGUUGAUAUAUAAUAUAUAUGAUAUAUAAGUAGAUCUAUGUCUGAAUAGGUCAUCUAAUGAUGAACUAGUUAGUAAAAGAAUAGCAUAAGAAUAUUUAAAAAAUGAGAAAAUUUGUUUAACCGGUAUCACCGACGGUGGGUGUGUGUGUACCCUUUUGACGUGUGAUUAUGGUGAACCCUACCCGUGGAUACAACUUUAGUCAGACUUAGCGAAGCGAUAAGAACUGUAAACUAUAUACUAUGUACUGCAAACUGUGAACUGUAAACUGAAUUGAGACGUAUUCACAUGGUAUAGAGGAUUCUUACUGCUCUCGUUGAUACCGACAGAGACAAUAUCGUGCGAUGAAACUCUUAAAAGAUUAAAAAAAAAAUUAUAAACCUUAAUAAAAAUGUAAUUGAGAAUGAAAGUAUAACUGAAAAGUGAUAAGUGAACAAUGUAAGGUAAAAGCCAUAUUGACAUAUACAAUGAUAAGUAAUUCAAUAACAAGUGCAAGUGAUUGUCAUAAAGUGCAAGUGCAAGUGCAAAUGCUACGAACUAGUGAACAGUAUUAUUUAUUUAUUUAGAUGUGCUGUUAAAGUAUUUGUGAUAUCUAUGAAACCAUUUGUGAAAGAUUGAAUUAUUGAGCUAUGUGAAAUUAUGGUUACUAUAUUACUUGAGGAUUGGCUUUAAAAAAAUACACAUAUGUUUUGUAAAUCUUGUUUGAUUGAGUGUGUAUAUGUCUUUGUUUUGGGCACUGUCCAUCUUCCUUGCUGAGUCCGUGAAGCUUACUCCAAUUCACACCCCCAAUGUAGAUUAGUCUAAAUCAAUGGCAAGUUUAAGGUUGAAAAAAGUCUUUGAAGAACUUUCAGUGACAGUGAGAGUUUUAUCUUAUAAAGUCGGUUUAAUUAUAUUAUAGCGAUGCAAUAUAAAUUUUUUUGUAAGUCUCAUGACUCGUAAUUCCAUAUAGGGGAUGAUUGAAUAUUAAGUUUAUCUUAUUGUUGUAUAAAAUUACCAGGUUAUGUGCGUUGAAUAACGAUUCUUUCUUAAUAGAGAAAGUGAGUUGUUACAUGCUAACUAUUGGUGAUGUAUUAUCAAAUUAUAUACUGAAAUGUUUUCUUAUCGGUCUUUUUCAUGGAUGUAGGUACACUAUCGAACUACGUAAAAUUCUUGUAUUUUUUUUUCUGCUUUUACUUUGAUGUGAUUGUACAUGCUUUAGGGAUUAAUUUUUUCUAAUAAGUGAUAUCAGAGCUCGGGUUUAAACACGAGUUAAUGAGCUGAAGUUAGAAGAAGUUAAAAAGUCAUUGUGAACCUAUUUGGUCAGACUUGUACAACCAAACAGUCUCUAGCGCGGUGGUUUUCGGCAAAGAAAACAAAACGUGACCAGAUCAAAUUCGAUCUGUGCGUUUCCUGUACGACACAACGGAAGAAACUCAGUUGUUAUCAUGAUGUGGGACAAUCUAUUGGUGCGACCAUAACAGAUUAAGAAGAGGGAUCGCACGACUUGGAGAAAGACGACUAGUCUACGGCCACUGGAAGAAAAACAUAUCGGGUCCGUAUGAGGAGGGUCGAAGAAGAGAAACCGAAGGCGGUUUUGCGAUAUCCAACCUCGUCUAUGCGCGAAGUUAGAGCUGGUGAGGGAGAACGCACACCAAAGAAGACGACCAGUGCAGUAGCAACUGAUUCGUUAGAGGCAUGGUUUGCGGCGUUUUCGACAAUAUUUUGGUUCAUUUUCACUAGAUCCGUGCCUAAUUCAUCGAGUCACAUGUUCUUGUACCUUUUUAGUGUUUUCCAGCAGCAGCGAGAGGUGACUGGUGGCCAUGAGUGACAUCUUUAGCGGCCGCACGUAGAGGAGCGCGUCACGGCGCGUGGAGGCACUUGCGGUGUUUCGGUGGUUGCAUUUAGUAAUUUUCUGUGCAGUGGUGACUCCAUGUGAAUAUUUUUUUCUUUAUGACAGUGUUUUCUUCUCUCUAUUUUAUUUUUUGGUGCACAGUCUACGAUUUGAGAUACAUCCAUAAAGUAUAAAUAGAGAGUUUGAUGACGUACGAGUUUUAGUCUAUGAAAGAUUAGAAUGAGAUCGUGUCUGGCACUACAAGGGUUGUAUGGGCAAUUGAAGAAAGAUAUCCUAGGGGUAUGAGAGAGUCGGAAAAGACAAGUAUGUAAGAUAGAGCAUUAUGUGCGCUUUUUAUGAGUGUUAAUAACAUUGUUUUGUGAGAGAUAGUUAAGGAGAUUUCACCUUCAGCUGUGUGGAAGAAAUUGGAAGAUUUAUACUCUAUAAAAUCGCUGAUGAACCGCCUUUAUCUGAAGAAAAGACUAUAUAAUUUCAGAAUGAGUGAAGGUACACCCAUUAAAUAGCAUUUUGAUGAGUUUAACUAUUUAAUUAUGGACCUAAAUAAUAUAGAUAUUAAGAUUAAAAAUGAAGAUCAGACAUUGAUUAUUCUGUGUUCAUUACUAUCUUCUUAUGAGACUUUUGUUGAUACUCUACUGUACAUAAAAAUUAGUAUUUCAUUAGAUAAUUUUAGUAAUGCACUAAAAUCGAAAUAGUUACAAAAGAACUUUACUGAGUAUAGAAUAAAAAUGAAAGUUUGGUAAGUAGGAGAAGGAUACAAAGAAUGGACAAAUCAAAAUCCAAAGGUAAAAAGAAAAAUUAUUUAAAGUAUAGGGAGAAUGGUCACUUUAUGAGAGAUUGUCCUAUACUAAAGAGAGAAAAAGAGCAGGAGAGUUUUGCUAUUAUAAUCGACAGAGAUAAUUCUGACGAUAGUGAUAGCAACAGUGUUGGGGUAGUUCUAUAUGUGAAUUUGGAUUAUAAAAAAAGCUCCUAGAUUCUUGAUUAUGGUGCUACAUUCCAUAUGUUUCCACAUAAAUAUUAGUUUGCUACUUAUAAGCAAAUGAGUGGUACCGUGUAUAUAAGAGAGGACAGUUUGUUAUCUGUAGUUGAGAUUGAUAAUAUCAUAUUAAGAAUAUUUGAUGGUAUUAUCAUGAUUAUUGAGUGUUAAUAUGUUCUUCAUAUGAAGAAGAAUCUGAUUUUUUUUUUCUACAUUGGCGACUUAGGGUUACAAAUAUCAUGCAAAGAAUGGUAUUGUUAAAGUGUGUAAAGGCUCUGAGGUACUCAUGAAAGACAGUUUAAAAUCUAGAUUGUAUGUUCUUCAGGAAAAUGUAGUUUUAGAAAAAGCUACUGUAGCAUGAAGGAGCAAUAACCAAAAUCAGUUGUGGCAUCUAUUUUUGGGUCAUAUUAGUGAUAAAGGGUUAUCUGUUUUGAGCAAGUAGAGUUUGUUGAAUGGCAUAAAGAAUGAGUUUUGAGUUUCUGUGAACACUAUGUUUAGCAAGCAGACUAUAGUGAAAUUCAACAAAAAGGUAGUGCACAAGACUAGAUGUAAGUUGGAUUAUGUUCAUUCUGACUUAUGGGGUCCAUACAAAGUUUUCUCCAAGAGUAGUAUUGGCAUCUUGUGACAUUGAUUGAUGAUUACUCUAAGAAGGUAUGAGUGUAUUUUUAAAAAUUCAAAAAAGAGGCAUUUUCAACAGUUGUCAAAUAGAAAACCAUGAUUUAGAAGCAGACAAAAAGGAAGAUCAAAUGUCUUAUGACUCACAAUAGCUUGAAAUUUUGCAAUUAUGAGUUUGAUAACUUUUGCAGUAUGAAAUGUAUAAUGAGACACCACAACAGAAUGAUAUUGCAGAACGCAUGAAUAAGAUGCGUUGUGAUGUGACACGAAGCAUGUUGUUUUAUUCAAGUAUAGGACAUGAGUUUUGGGCUGAAGCUAUGAAUACUGUUAGUUUCUUGGUUAAUAGAUUUUCAUCCACAAAUAUUGAGAGUAAAAUUCCUUUUGAGGCAUGGUCUGGGUCACAUGCUAAUUAUUCUCAGUUGAGAGUGUUUGGUUGUCCUACUUAUGCUCAUGUUAGGGAUGGUAUGCUUGAGUCGAGGGUAAAGAAAUGCAUAUUUAUGGGGUAUGCAUUUGGAGUGAAAGGCUACAGGUUGUGGUGUAGUGAUCCUAAGUCUCCAAGGUUGAUUAUCAGCAGAGAUGUGACGCUUAAUGAGUCUGCUUCACUAGACAUUAAGAAGGGGAAAAAAAUAGCAUAAUCAUAUCACAGUGUUAUAGAAUAAGUAGAGUUAGAAGUUCAGUCCAAUGGUUUAAGGAAUGAAGUGCAUGAUCUUAAUCAAUAAGGUGAUAGUGCACUUGAUUAACAAUAACCAUAUAGUAUUGCAACAGGUAUAGAGAGAAGAUAGAUUAGAUGAUCACAGAGGUAUGAGAAUCUGGUUGCAUAGCUUGUCAAUUGCAGGACCAAUUAAUUUGCAAGAACCAGGGAAUUCAGAUGCUGAUCAAAUGAUUGAUGUUGUGUGUGAAGAACUUGAUGACAUAUGUCACUUUGUUGAGGGAUCAAAUAACCAGUUUAGGUGUGGCCUAAACUUGGCUGGAGUAUGUGAUACUCAAUAGUGCCCUAGUGGAGGCAUGUUAGCUAAACGGUGCGACAAGAUGGUUUGUUGCUUUGAUGAUAGAGGAAAUUUGAGCUAAAGGAAAGAUUUGUUGAUGUGUCUUAAACUUUUGUGAUAUUUAUCUAUAUUCUGAAGAUAAUUAAUGUUGGUUUUGUUUAUAUUUAUCCUAAAAAAUAUUUAAUGUACAUCUUAGAUAGUUUUAAUUUGUGAAAAACUCUACUAAUCUCUCUAUAAAUAGGUUUUUUAAUUUAUUAGUGAUAUACUCUCAUAUUAUAUAGUAAAAUUUUUUCUUGUUGGUCUUACCCGUGGAUGUAGACACGCUGCUGAACUACGUAAAAUUCUUGUGUCUUUUUUCUUCUGUUUUUACUUUAAUGUGAUUGUGCAUGCUUCAUAUAUUAACUUUUUUCAACAAAAACUUAAUACACUAAUGUGUUUGUGAAAUUCCAGUGACUAAAUUGGAUUAAAUUUUAGCAAAUUUAUUACGUUGUUGGCUGAAAGAAACCUUAUUGAGGAUAUAAGACUUUAUUAGUAUAUUGGUAACACUGCAAUGACUUAUGAGCAUAUUAUCUAUUUAACAGUAGUCAAUUUAUGAUAUUUNNNNNNNNNNNNNNNNNNNNNNNNNNNNNNNNNNNNNNNNNNNNNNNNNNNNNNNNNNNNNNNNNNNNNNNNNNNNNNNNNNNNNNUAUCAAUUCAGUUAUUUUGACAAUUCAAUUUAUUAAUCUAUUAAUAAAUUUAUAAUAAUUAAACUAAGUUAAAUCUUAAUAAUUCUAUUACAUUUUUAGAUAAAAAAAUAUAUUUUAUAAGAAUUAUUUUUUAAAAAAAUAAUUGAGAUAAUUACAAUAAAUAAAAUUUUAUUAUUAUUAUAUUUUAAAAAAGGAGAGAGAUCGGGAAGGGCGGCGAAGGGCAGUUUGCUUUGCCGCGUAUUAUUAAUUAAUUUAAGUUUAAAGGUCAAAACAUUUGCCUAAAGUCAAACAUAACAAAGCUUCAUAAUUAAAUAAUAGCUGCACGUACACACAUAUAUGUAUAUAUGUAUACUUUAAUUAAUUUAUUUUUCUUCUUAUAAAUCUAAUCUAUGUAAUCAUCCACUGUUAUUGGACCGACCAUGUCGAGACCGAAAUUAAAGUGCUAUACACACACACACACAUAAUGUGUAUGCAUGCAUAUGUAUGUAAGGAAAGGGUCAGAGUUUAUUUGUCAAUUCAAUCAAGCUCGAACUGGAUUCAAUUUUUUCUUCCUCCUCCAGCUAUAAAACACGUUAAGACUCAUUAGUGAUGUCGGGGAUGGAUCGCCAUGAUCAGGGACCAUGAACACAUUUAAUUAAUUAAAUUCAAAAAUUACCAUCAAUUUUGUUACACACUUGUAAUCAAUCGGUCAUUUUCAUUUUUUUUUUUUUUCCUUCACCGAUUUUCUUUCACGUCCGACUUCAUUUUCUGCAUGCGUGCGUAUACCCACAUAUAUAUAUAUGACAAUAUUUCAUUACUUAUAACAUAAUUUUUAAUAAAAAUAUAUAAUUUAACCCAAAUUUAUAUUUUUACAGAUAAUAGGUAAUUUUUUUGUAAAUAAUAUUUAUAUCUAUUAAAUUUUUAAAUAAUAAAUAAUUUAAAUUUUAAUUGAAGCAAAUGAAUUUGCAUGUUAAUUUUGAGUCAACAGACUUGGAGAACAGUGGAC